rfam:Triticum aestivum genome assembly, contig: Triticum_aestivum_CS42_TGACv1_scaffold_211126_3AS
ACUGCUCAGUUGGUAAAGCACAAAGCUCUUAACCUUGUGGACGUGGGUUCAAGCCCCAUGGAGAGUA